ensembl:lncRNA
GUUUCCUCACAGAGAGAUAAUCGGUCAUGUAAGCGAUCAGGUUACGAUCUCAGGUCUGUAUGCAGGAAAUAUCAUACCACGAGUUUUUAGUUCUAAACAGAUUUUCUUCUGGCACACACAAAUGUGAGAGAGAUUGCAUGCCUGACAGUGGCAAAACGUGAAUGCAAUCCAAAUGAGCAGGGAAAAAGCAAAAGCCUUCAGUCCCAUCUGCACUGCAGAAGACUGUCUUUGGGUCCGUUGUCAGCUCCCAAGCUAACCUUGAAUGAAUAGAGAACAACAAAACUACGUUGCUUCUCCUUUUGGGAGAGAUUGGUAAAUAGGAGGCCAAAGAUUUGAGAGGGAGGGCAUCCCUCGUGGCGGAAAUAAAUUGUAUAGUGAGUUUUUUGUUUGCUUAGAUAGCAUUCAAUCCUUACCUUGGCUGUGACAAUCAUUGGCAACUGAAGAUCAAGUUGCAACUAUAUUUAUGCUAAAUGUUAAGAAAAGAGACUUAGUUGAGUUGUUUUCCUAAACAACUGGUUGUAAUAGUCUUAGGUGUAUUUCUUUUUUUUAACGGUGUUUCUUUUAUGUGUAAAUGUUGCCAACAUUUGUGAGUAACAUGAGCAGAUGCUGGAAGUUCCAGUACCGUGCAGAGAUAUUGUAGCUCCCCUUAUAUUCUUGCGAAGAGCCUUUGCCAUCUUGCGAGAGACUUUGAGGACUUCAGCUAUGUUCAGGUAAACUUGUGGACUGGCCUGGUAAUUAUAAUGUUUUUUAAACGGAAAAUGUGAUGUACACUGACUUGAAAUGUCUCUUGAUGAGAUAAAAACAAGGGUGUGAUUUUCUGAGGUGCUGCACUGCAGAUUUCUGGGAAGUGGUCAAGGUUUUAAUGUGUGAUCUAACAAGAACUCUUUGAAGACAGCAGUGUUCCCGCUAAGCAGUGUUUCCUAUCACAAGAUUAGGAGCUGAAUAUAGACUAUAGAAAUAUUAAGAAGACAGGUCUCUUUGACACCCUUAGCCGCAACGUCCUGAAAUACUGUUGGUGUGUUACAGUGUAGGAAUUUUCUGCUGGCUUACGUCCAAGAUCUGGGAGUAUGUUAUGCUAAAGCAGCAAAGAUGUACUGCAUCGUAUGUACCUAAAAUGUUAGAAAUUGCUGAUAUUGAAUAUUUGUGUUGGAGAAUGCCAAUGAGUUAAGCCACCAGAAAUGAUGGUUUUACUAUGAUGCAUCUCCCUCUAAACAAUGACUUCUUUGUCUUUCUCAACAUUCUUAAAUUAUUUUGUCGGUUUUGCCAAUAGUAGCCUAAGAACUGUAGGAGUGUUCAGCCUCAGAUACGUGGGUUGAAGAGUUUUAGCACAACGACAGCUCUACACUGCCAGUCCUUGGUUGAGCAACAUGGCAUCUGGGGUUUUCACCUCUAUAGAUCUCUCCACUCAAAGUAACUGCCUUGAGAAAUGUUCCAGGAAGUGGGUAGCUAGGCAGUCGUAAUCCAUUGUAUUGUACUCACGGCUGGACUAGAUGGUUGUAGUUGUCUUUUCCAGUCGUAAUGAUUCUGUGAUUCUGUAGUUGCUAUUUCUGGGUUUUGAUGAUCUAGGCUGGACCUUCACUCAUUGACAAAAGAAGAACGUUUGACAUCUGCCAGGCCAGUUAAGAUACGGUAGCGUCAUUGAUUUCAACAGAUUUAAUAUAGCUGAAAAGUAUUAACCCAAUUCAAGAGGUUUCUUGAAUGGCAGUUGUGUAGAUACGUGGCAUGCAUAUUAACAGAAUCCAGAGAGCUAAUGGAAUUGUUUCAUGUGUACAUACGUUUCCUCCCUCUAAAACUAUCCUAGUUAACUUUUGUAAGCUGGCAUGGAGUUGUGUUUAUGACAUUUGGUUGCACCAUGUUUGAUGCUUUUACAGUGCAAUACUUGUAUUCUCUGAAUAAAACCAAAGGUAAUUUGUUUUUUCAUGUUCUCUACUGUAGUGCAUGAUGGCCUUUUCUACGUUUUUAAUAAAUGUAAAACAAGCCAGAUCAUACAUCCUGUUUUCACCUAAAGUAUGUUUUAAGUCUUUUGUUCAAAAUGUAGUGUAAAGUUAAACUAAAUUGCAUUAUAUUAACCUUUUCAAGUGUAUUUUCCUAAGCAUAGUUCUGAUUAAAUAAACUUUAUUAUGGAA